GGGAAUGCUUCGGAUUCGAUGGCAGAACUUUUAUAAAAUUGCAAGUUGAGGAUGAUUUCUCACCUCGUUAAUCAUGGAAUCAACAAAUUUAUCUGCCAAAAACAGAUUAGCCAAUUUCUUGGCUCCUGCGUACGCUUUCGCGUAAACGCAGGCAUCGCUUAACUAAAACUUGAUAGGUUAAUCCCCCACAUAAAUUUAUGUGGGGGAUAAAUCAGCGGUGUUAUACAUCAAGUUGCGCUUAAUCACCCGGCGAAAUUAAGCAAAGAUAAGCCGGUAAAGAAUUGAGAAUGUUUCGCCCGAUUUAUAAUUCUUAGUUCAUAAUUCUAAUCGAGAUAAACUUGUAGAAAUUUUAUAAAAAUAUCGCCAGACGCGAGUUCAACUCUCGCCAUUUCCACCA
rnacentral:tmRNA from 4 species